GACGAACGCUGGCGGCGUGCUUAACACAUGCAAGUCGAGCGGUAAGGCCCUUUCGGGGUACACGAGCGGCGAACGGGUGAGUAACACGUGGGUGACCUGCCCUCAGCUCUGGGAUAAGCCUGGGAAACUGGGUCUAAUACUGGAUAUGACUCCACGGUGCAUGUCGUGGGGUGGAAAGCCUUGUGCGGCUGAGGAUGGGCCCGCGGCCUAUCAGCUUGUUGGUGGGGNGAUGGCCUACCAAGGCGACGACGGGUAGCCGGCCUGAGAGGGCGACCGGCCACACUGGGACUGAGACACGGCCCAGACUCCUACGGGAGGCAGCAGUGGGGAAUCUUGCGCAAUGGGCGAAAGCCUGACGCAGCGACGCCGCGUGAGGGAUGACGGCCUGGU
rnacentral:rRNA from 1 species